CGAAUUAGUUGAUCGCCGAGAACUGGAUUAAUAAUGAUAACAACAAUUUAGAAAAAAGGAAAUAUCAAGAUUAACAUAAUGUUAUACAAUGAGAUCAGUUAAUUGUAUCAACAUUUUCAACAAGAAUUAGAUGAUGAUAAUGGUGAUGAGGAUGAUGAUAAAUGAUUCUGAUGCUGAUGAUUACCGGUAGACGAGGUGUUAAUGCCCUGAAGGUGCAUCCGUUUCUGACAAUCUGAACACGACAUGAGGAAUCGGGUCACAGCUUCACGUGGUAGAAAUGCAAACAUCUCGGCGACCUUUUUUUACGAUUCGGAUAAAAAGAUAUUUAUACAUUAUUAAGAUGAUGAUAAGAUGAAAAGUUUUCUCUCUUUCAUCUACCUUCUUUGCUUCAUCCUCAUCCUCAUCCUCAUCCUUAUCCUCAUCAUCUUCACCAUAUUGUAACAGCUCAACUGAAGAUGGAUUAUAAAUUAUCAAUAACCUUUGAUGGUCCAAAGCAGCUCCUUCGAUAUCAUUUAUACGUAAGGAUAAAUAAUUUAAACUUUUCAUGUUCCUCUUUCAAUCUCUCUCACUCUUGAUAUUAUUUUAUUAUUAUGAUGAUAUUUUGUUCAACUAAUCUGAAAAUUUGAACCAUCCAAACAAAUAGAUGUUGAAACAUAAAACUAGAAAUACUGAGAUACACUUCAAUAUCAUCACAUCAACUGAAUUCCCUCAAAUGUUCAACAUGAAUGAAACUGUUAAAAUCUGAGGAAAAUAUUUGUUCCUUUUUACUUUUCGGACUUUCAAAGAGAAUCUCGAGUUGUUAUUCAAAUUGACCAUUUAUAUUACACUUUAUGUUUGUAGACAGAAAACUUUCGAUUUCCUCUUUCUUCUUCCAUCAUCUAAUCAUAUUCUGCUCUCUCACUGACCAUGUAACAGCAGCAACCAAACAUGAAGGCUCCACAUGGUCAAUCCAGAAUAUCAUCUUUUCAUCUCCAGGAGAUUGAGAAGAACAAGAAAACCACCUUAGACUUAAACGAUGCAAAGUCUUUUCUCUUUCAUAUCCAUUACUUGAUUUUCCAUCAAUGAUUUCAUCUCUUCUUCUCUCAUUACUGACCUGUGUUAUUGGUCUCACCGGGAGCUUUACUUUCCUUUUAGGACAUCUCCCGAUCUUGAUCAUAUUCUCUUCCCUUUGCAUCUCUUACUUUUUCAUCUUCUUCUCUCUCACCAAUCUCUAUUCUUCAUUACGAAAACCUUAAUGGCAUCUUCUUGCUUCCUCAUUCACAUCACUUUCUCUCCAGUUCUCCUCUUCCUCUCUAUCCAGUUCCACCCCCGCCAUUAUCAUCUUACUCUAACUUUCUCCAUCUUCCUCCCUCCCUUUCUUCAUCUCCUUUGCUAUCUUUUCCAUCUUCAUCUUCAUCUUCUUACUUCUUAUUAUCUUCCACUUUUGUGUCCCAAAGAACCAAAAGAAUCUGUAACCUGGAUCAAGUCUUUUCUUUUGCUUCCUAAUUCUCUAUCUCGAGGAUCUUCACAAUCGACAAAAAUCCUUUUCGAUAUAUACAAGGUAGUUCGAGUUGAAUUCUUUACUAGAAUUCUAUUUCACAUUUUCUGUUCUUCUUAUCCUUCUCAUCUUAUUUUUCUCUUUUCUUUCGUUUCUAUUUCCUUUUUUUUUCGAUGAACAUCCUCAUCCUCAUCUUCAACUCUCUCCCUCAUCCUUUCAAACCGAAGUCUUAAGAAAAUAGAUUCGUAAUCAUCUGAUUGUAUCAAACUACUCACCGCUCGAUA